UGGCGGUCUUUCCGGGCGGGCCUUAUACAUGCAAGUCGAGCGGUAACAUGGAAGCUUGCUUCUGAUGACGAGCGGCAAACGGGUGCGUAACACGUAUGUAACCUACCUUAAACAAAGGGAUAGCCCAUGGAAACGUGGAUUAAUACCUUAUAAAACUUAGUAUCGCAUGAUACAGAGUUAAAAGAAUUUCGGUUUAAGAUGGACAUGCGGCCUAUUAGCUAGUUGGUAAGGUAACGGCUUACCAAGGCGACGAUAGGUAGGGGGCGUGAGAGCGUGGUCCCCCACACGGGCACUGAGACACGGGCCCGACUCCUACGGGAGGCAGCAGUAAGGAAUAUUGGGCAAUGGAGGAAACUCUGACCCAGCCAUGCCGCGUGCAGGAAGAAUGCCCUUUGGGUUGUAAACUGCUUUUAUAUGCAAAGAAAAUUACUUUUUUUAGAGUAACUGACGGUAGCAUACGAAUAAGGACCGGCUAACUCCGUGCCAGCAGCCGCGGUAAUACGGAGGGUCCAAGCGUUAUCCGGAAUCACUGGGUUUAAAGGGUGCGUAGGUGGAUUAAUAAGUCAGAGGUGAAAUCCCAUAGCUUAACUAUGGAACUGCCUUUGAAACUGUUAGUCUUGAAUAUAUUGGAAGUGGGCGGAAUGAGUCAUGUAGCGGUGAAAUGCGUAGAUAUGACUCAGAACACCGAUUGCGAAGGCAGCUCACUAUGAUAUUAUUGACACUGAGGCACGAAAGCGUGGGUAGCGAACAGGAUUAGAUACCCUGGUAGUCCACGCCGUAAACGAUGAUUACUCGAUGUUCGAUUCCUUGUGGAUUGAGCGUCCAAGCGAAAGCGUUAAGUAAUCCACCUGGGAAGUACGGUCGCAAGGCUGAAACUCAAGGAAUUGGCGGGGGUCCGCACAAGCGGUGGAGUAUGUGGGUUUAAUUCGAUGAUAAGCGAGGAACCUUACCCAGACUAAAUCCUUAGACGACAGACCCAGAAAGGGGUUUUUUCUUCGGACGGCUAGAGGUGCUGCAUGAUGUCGUCAGCUCGUGCCGUGAGUGUUGGUAGUCCCGCACGAGCGCAACCUUACCUUUAGUGCAGCACAUAUGGUGGACUCCUAGAGGAACUGCUCGUAGGAGGAGGAGUGGGGAUGACGUCAAUCAUCUAUGCCUUACGUCUGGUCUCACACGUACUACAAUGGCGGUACAGUGCUACUGGGACGAUGCAAUCUCUAA
rnacentral:rRNA from 1 species